AUACGGAGGGUGCGAACGUUAAUCGGAAUUACUGGGCGUAAAGCGCGCGUAGGCGGUUUGGUCAGUCGGAUGUGAAAGCCCUAGGCUCAACCUGGGAAUUGCAUUCGAUACUGCCUGACUAGAGUAUGGUAGAGGGAAGUGGAAUUUCCGGUGUAGCGGUGAAAUGCGUAGAUAUCGGAAGGAACACCAGUGGCGAAGGCGACUUCCUGGGCCAAUACUGACGCUGAGGCACGAAAGCGUGGGGAGCAAACAGGAUUAGAAACCCCAGUAGUCC
rnacentral:rRNA from 1 species